UCAACCUUGUGUCGAGACGCACGUUAGGGAGACAAAUCGACGGUCCAUUUGACAUUGCUAGACUGAAUCUCAUAGCGAAACUUAAGCUUAAGAUUUAGAGUUUGUUGAAGGUGAUGAGCAAGAACCAAUCGGCAAAUCAGUCAGAAUCAAGUGGAAAAAUGAAGUAUGUGUUGCAAAAAUAAUCGCAAUUGGCAAGAAAAGGGCGAUGAGAAAGGAGGAAAGCCGACUAGCUAUUGUUGCUGCUAACGAGUCUUUUGCUGAAAAGGAAGCACCACCGGAAACUAUCUUGGGAUAUAAAAGGUCCCAUUUAAUUUCGCGUUCGCAAGAUGAUGGGAUUUUCGACCCAGACCAGUUUAUUCCUGCAAAAAUAAACCGAGCGGAUACUGCAGUGGCAGUUUCCACUUCUAUUGCAAAAACUACAGAUUUUGAAUUUACAUUGGGGCUGGUGCCGGUUGGAGUCGCCGAGUUACCCGACGGAGUCGACCGAAUUGAAAUUGAUGGCGGGAUUGAAGAACCUCAGGUGUCGUGAGAUUGUUUCACGUGAAAUUAUUUUUAGUUAUUUCAUGCAAUUUUCCUGUGCCUGGUCUGCAGAGUGUUCCAGCGACAAAUGAAAACUUUGAG